rnacentral:rRNA from 1 species
AGCUGUCGGGAUUAUUGGGCGUAAGGGCUCGCAGGCGGUUUCUUAAGUCUGAUGUGAAAGCCCCCGGCUCAACCGGGGAGGGUCAUUGGAAACUGGGGAACUUGAGUGCAGAAGAGGAGAGUGGAAUUCCACGUGUAGCGGUGAAAUGCGUAGAGAUGUGGAGGAACACCAGUGGCGAAGGCGACUCUCUGGUCUGUAACUGACGCUGAGGAGCGAAAGCGUGGGGAGCGAACAGGAUUAGAUACCCUGGUAGUCCACGCCGUAAACGAUGAGUGCUAAGUGUUAGGGGGUUUCCGCCCCUUAGUGCUGCAGCUAACGCAUUAAGCACUCCGCCUGGGGAGUACGGUCGCAAGACUGAAACUCAAAUGAAUUGACGGACCCAUAAAAAUCUUUUCCCUAUAUUGGCCUCCGAUCUCUGUGGAUUUCAUGUACAUCAAGGCCUAGUUCCAUCUUAUGUUGCAGUUUUGUUUUUACCUUUUCCAGACAUAUCCCUUUUAAUGUUAGUCCCCCCCCCUCGUUACGAGUGAUUUCUGGCUUCGCCUCCAGAAUUUUUCGUCUGUCGAGCCAUAUGCAUGACUGUGGUGCGCCUCCGGCCUUACUUCGCCCCCCGUCUCC